GCCAGCUCUCCGCGGCGCACACGCUCGCCAGAGCGCACAAAGAACCCCCCAGGUCCUUAAUCCCAGGCAGAGCACCAUCGUCCCUGUCCGUUAAGCCCCGAGACCGCAACACCAGCAGAAACUGGAGAGUCUCCCCGAGGAGCUUACUGAAAGCGCCCACCGAUGUGUGCAUCCUGCUUCCUUUCACUAAUAGCGACAAAACAACAGGACGAUUAAUCGAUGUCGAGAAGACGAAUCAGACCAAUGCAAUCAAAGACGGCUGACGGACCAAAAGAAGAACAUGCAAUAACACGCAAUGGUUGUACCAGCUCUACCGCAUACUUGUGACACUGUUACCAUGUGACCAAAACCCACUCUGCAGGAACACAGGCAGCUCACAGUUGUCCAUGAACUGCCAACAUAAUUUCCUCAUAAUAGAGAGAAAUGAAACUAAAACUGAAGCAAAAAUAUAAAAAACAAUGCUGUUCAAAUUGAAAAAGCAAAA